AAUUUAUAUAGUAUAUAAGUAUAUUUGACUUCCAAUCAAAAGGACUAAAUUAUUUUAGU
rnacentral:tRNA from 1 species